rnacentral:rRNA from 1 species
GACUUAACAUGCUUAGCCCUACCAGGUUACUGGUGGAGUGCUGAGACGUGUUUGUCAUCCUUCCAGAAAAUGUUGUUUCGCUUCAUUGCGUGGACAGCACUAUCUGGAUCUUUUACUUUGAAAAAAUUAGAGUGUUUAAAGCAAGCUUUUGCUAUGAAUACAUUAGCAUGGAAUAAUAAUUUAGGACUUCGGUUCUAUUUUGUUGGUUUCUAGAACUGAAGUA